rnacentral:rRNA from 1 species
ACUCCUACGGGAGGCAGCAGUGAGGAAUAUUGCACAAUGGGGGGAACCCUGAUGCAGCAACGCCGCGUGGAGGAUGACGCAUUUCGGUGUGUAAACUCCUUUUAUCUCACAAGAUAAUGACGGUAUCAGAUGAAUAAGCUCCGGCUAACUCCGUGCCAGCAGCCGCGGUAAUACGGAGGGAGCAAGCGUUAUUCGGAAUCACUGGGCGUAAAGGAUGCGUAGGCGGGUGAGCAAGUUGAGAGUGAAAUCCUAUGGCUUAACUGUAGAACUGCUCUUGAAACUGGUUACCUAGAAUAUGGAAGAGGCAGAUGGAAUUAGUGGUGUAGGGGUAAAAUCCGUAGAUAUCACUAGGAAUACCGAUUGCGAAGGCGAUCUGCUGGGACAUUAUUGACGCUGAGGCAUGAAAGCGUGGGGAGCAAACAGGAUUAGAUACCCUGGUAGUCCACGCCCUAAACGAUGAACACUAGUUGUUGGGAUGCUCGUUAUUGCAGUGAUACAGUUAACACAUUAAGUGUGCCGCCUGGGGAGUACGGUCGCAAGAUUAAAACUCAAAGGAAUAGACGGGGACCCGCACAAGUGGUGGAGCAUGUGGUUUAAUUCGAAGAUACGCGAAGAACCUUACCUAGACUUGACAUUGUUAGAAUUCUGUAGAGAUACUGAAGUGCUUGUUUACUGGAGCUUGAUGACAGGUGCUGCACGGCUGUCGUCAGCUCGUGUCGUGAGAUGUUGGGUUAAGUCCCGCAACGAGCGCAACCCUCGUGACUAGUUGCUAACAGUUCGGCUGAGCACUCUAAUGAGACUGCCUUCGCAAGGAGGAGGAAGGUGAGGACGACGUCAAGUCAUCAUGGCCCUUACGGCUAGGGCUACACACGUGCUACAAUGGGGCGUACAGAGAGUUGCGAUACCGCG